rnacentral:rRNA from 1 species
GACGAACGCUGGCGGCGUGCUUAACACAUGCAAGUCGAACGAGAGCGUAGAGAAAGCUUGCUUUUUCUACAAUCUAGUGGCAAACGGGUGAGUAACGCGUAAACAACCUGCCCUACGGAUGGGGACAACAGCUGGAAACGGCUGCUAAUACCGAAUACGUUCCGAAAGUCGCAUGACUAUCGGAAGAAAGGAUGGCCUCUAUUUAUAAGCUAUCGCCGGAGGAGGGGUUUGCGUCUGAUUAGCUAGUUGGAGGGGUAACGGCCCACCAAGGCGACGAUCAGUAGCCGGUCUGAGAGGAUGAACGGCCACAUUGGAACUGAGACACGGUCCAGACUCCUACGGGAGGCAGCAGUGGGGAAUCUUCCGCAAUGGGCGAAAGCCUGACGGAGCAACGCCGCGUGAGUGAAGACGGCCUUCGGGUUGUAAAGCUCUGUUAUACGGGACGAAUAAUCUUGUGGUUAAUACCCAUGAGAAGUGACGGUACCGUAAGAGAAAGCUACGGCUAACUACGUG